GACUGUCAUAGGCUUUCCAAUUUCAAUAAUCUGCAAUUCUCAAAUACAUAAAUUGCUCUUCUAAAGCCUAGAAUUUGGCUCUAAAGAGUAAAUUAUGUUAACAUCAGAUGAGGUAAAUCUCUAUUGACAAUGGAAUUAAAGGGAUCCAGAAAGUGGAGAUUUUCAUGAGCAAUGGGUUUAAUUUGGAACAACAGUGAUGAUGGUGCUGAAAAAGAAAUCCUAACUCUCAGCUUCUUCAUGGAAGGAUGUCAUGCAGAGAGGCAGAGUGCUUUUUCCCACAAGAAGUAUAUCUGAAUAUUGUGUUCUUUUUUUCCUACCUCCUUUUAAAGGGGUGUCUUCCAAGGAUCAUGACCUAGAAGAGAGAAUAUAGAUGAUUGAAGAGUUUAAGAAAUCAUAACCAUAAAAAGAAUAGCAAGAAGACAUAGCUAUAUUGUAGUAAUUCCUGUCCUCAGAUAUUUGCAGGCAUUUCUGAAAAGAAGUGAGGUAGCUUUUUGAUGAGAACUGUUGCAGUGAGGGAAACAAGGACCAUUGAUAGGUCCAGUGAUUUUCACAGAUUUUACCAUACUGGGAAGUAAGGAGAGUUAACUCCUAGGAACCCUUGGAACUUUACAUCUGUGGUAUGUAAUUACAUGCUUAAAUGUUGUUUUAGUUAUAUUUUAUAAAAGUACAGUUAAUUUUGAAUUGAUUUUAUAAUUAAACAUUUUAUUUUGCUUCAGUUUACAAACAGUUCCAUGGAAAAUGUAUCUUUCUUCACAAUAGAGUGAUCUCUAUUUUUAGGCAUCAUUAACAAAAUAUUUUAGAAAAUAAUUAAUGAAUAUAAGACAAUGAUAAUCCAUGUUAAAUCCACAUUAAAAGGGAUUUGGCUGAUCACAAGGUAUUUUAUUAAACUUUGAUAACAAUAAAGAGAGAUUUACCCCAAAUUGGAUAAGCAUGUACAUUGUUUCAAAAUGUGUUUCAUUUUAUUUAAAUAUACUUUACAUUGACUAGAUGUAGAAGAGUUUCUUGUUAAUAAAAGGACUCUACCUUCUGUACCUCAGCUAAUAUAUUACAAAUACUUCUCUUUGUUUUCCUGGCACAAUGCAAGAAUUGACCUGUUGACAUAUGAUGAACUCCUGACCCAGAAAUCUUAAUUUCUCUAAAAUUGUGUAACUCAAAGCUCAGAAAUUGAGUAAUAAAUCAAAAUUUAAAAUGGUUGAGGAGAAAAUAAUUGAAUUGCUUUCCAUCUCUUCCACGGCAUAUAGAUGCCAAGGGUUUUGACAGAGGUGUCAAAACUUUGGUUCUCUCUGUCCAAUAGAAGACAACCUACAAUAAGUCAUUUACAGGAAUAAUUAAACAUGCCAAAAUGAAUUGAUUAAAAGUCACGUUUGAUCCAAUUCCAUCUGUUUUCCUCAUAAACUUUUAAAAAUUGAUUUACAACAUAUGCUGCUAAUCAUGCAUUAUUAUUCUUACUUCAAAUGUAUCUGGUAGUGAGAAAAAGGGACCACAUACAUUUGGAUAGUCUUGAAUAUUAUUAUUUUAGAUAGCAAUAGAUAGUAAGGCAAUUUUUAAAUUGUUUAUUUUAAGAAAGAUUUCAAAAGGCAAGAAUUAAGUUUCAUCAAUGAAUUCAUGUCUACAAUUUGAGAUUAAUCUUCAGAAGUGUUUCCAUUCUCGAAUGUUUUAACAAAAUUACCCGAUACACUUUAAUCAUUCUCUUAAACUUUUGUUUUUUAUAACUUGUGACUUUUGGAUUAAAAAAUUGGUAUUAAAUUUAGUUAUACCAUGAAGUAAAACCUAAGUAAAGAAAUGUAAACUAAAGUUCAAAGACUUAUUAUUUGUUGAUAAAAGAGCAAUUGGGUUAGGUGGCUUGAAAAGAGUGUAUUAACAAUUAGUAACUUAUAUUGGAAAAUGAAAUAAGAGGUAAAUUAUGAGCAUAUAAAGGAUUAUUUUAAUGAAAUAAGAGAUGAAUUAUGAGCAUAUAAAGGAUUAUAAGUAAUGAUGAAUAUCCACCACAUGUUUUUAGGCCAAAUUACAAUAUGGCAUCAAUACAGACAUUUAUAUAACUUUUCUACUAUACUUAAAAUGUUUAGCACUUUAUAAGAAAAAGAAUAUUGUAAAUUGAUCCAUUAUUGGGAUAUAGCAGAAUUGAUGGAAGGAACAAGAAAGAUCUUUAUAUGUGAGAAGAGACUAGAUCAAAGGAAGGCAAACUCGCUCACAGGUCAAAUCAAGCUUGCUUCCCUUUUGUAAAGAAAGCUGUAUUGCAACACAACAAUGUCC
rnacentral:lncRNA from 1 species